CACACCUCGCAGGGGAUUGCAGCAUAUUGGCGCGUCCCAGGCAGCAGAUGAGAACUUCUGCCCUGAGCCAUGGGGAGCCCCUGGAGUGCUUUCAACAGAAAAGAGGCAGCUCCACAAUCUGCAUUUGAGAGACACAGCCUGGCAGCGCUGUGAAAGUCUCACCUUCCAGAAUGAGAAGAUCAAAAACUGUACCCUGCUCAGUGGCUUGGGAUCCCUGUUUCUUUGAGGGCGGAUUGUUAAACAACACGGAAUAUGCCAAACACAUGCAUCACAGAUCCCACGCAGAGCCGCGGAAGGGUGUGAACUGAAUGAGGCAGGUGAGCUCUCGGGAGCCCUCAUCUGCACUCAUGCAUGUCUCCCUAAUCAGCCCCAAAGAAGAGACACCACAGGCGGCCGCCAGCACCAGUGCCCAGCAUAGGUCCAAAUGGCUCUGCUGCUCCUGUAUCUGUGGGCUGUGCACUGCUCAAGCGAAACCUGAAAUAGAGGUCAACGUCCUGGGCUCCAUCUCCAUGCUUUAUUCAUUUGUCCACUCAAGUUUGAAAUAUAUUAUUGAAGUCUUACUUUUUUGCAUCCACUGUUUAUAGUACUUAAAAAAAAAAAAAAGAGUCCCUGCUCUUACAGAGCAUAUAUAUGGUCUAU
rnacentral:lncRNA from 1 species